GGCUUUCUGUGCUCGGGGGGAUGGAUGGAUGCUGUUACUGCUCCUCUGGCAGCUCAGAUUGAUUAGCACGCCGUCCACUGCAUGCCCCAAAGCACUGCUCAGAUUGAUCCCAGUCAGCGACAGCGUGCUUAAUAAAUAAUAAUCUCGGCGUCGGAGCGGCCUCACCCCCACUUGAAGCUCAUCAGCGUAGUAUUAAGCCCAGGUACAAUACACAACCCCCGUCCCAUCAGGCUGGCAGGCAGGCAGGCCAUCACCCCACACCCACACCCACUCUCUCCGUUUCUAGCUUCCUCCUCCUGCUCCAAGUACGGCCGCCGCCGGCCGGUCACCGGAUCCAAGAAGAACGGCCGAUGGAUGGAGGAUUCGGUGACGAACUGCAUGCUCCAUGUUUUGAUUGUGUGUGUUUAUUGCUCGUACGUACUGUAUACUGUAUUAAGUUGCAGCGGCCGAUUCGAUUAGGCCCUGAAGAGAUUGACAGAAGAGAGCGAGCACCCGGCGCGGCGGCCGGCAUGGAGCGCAUGCCGUCCCCGCCGCGUGCUCGCUUCUCUUUCUGUCAGCCUCUCUCUCGUCCUGGGCCGACGCCGCCGAGGCCGGCCGGGGCCGUGUGUGUGCUGCUGGGUGACUCUAGGCUAGCCACCUAGCUUGCUCUGAUCUGGAGCUGCUGCAGCAGCAGCUGCUGUCUUCCUGCUAGUGGCUACUGGUGCUAGUGGGGCGGCAGACGCCACCACCGAGGCUGGAAGCAAGCCACGGGCUCCCCUAGCGCGGUGGAAACUGUGCCACGCAGUCGUCGCGCGCAGAGAGAUGCACGACACGCAUGCUGCGAGGGGACGACGGCUUUUGCAGGCACCAAGGACAUGUCACUUCAUUAUCUUCUAUAGAUUUCCCAUAUUUUUUUGCUCUCAAAUUGAUUCCUUUCAGUCAGGCUGUCGGGGGGCUAUUACCGAGGAAGAGGAUGAGGUCGACCAUGGAGAGGAUGAGCCAAGAGUAGUAGUAGUAGUACAAGUACUUGCUGUGGUAGGUUUAGCAGUACACGGCCGAAAAAACCACUUCUCAGCAAGGAGCAAGAGCUUGCUGUGGUAGGUUUUGUGGUACACUGAAAAAUGAUUGGUACUAGAGUUUUAUUUGCCGUUUAUUUUCUGCUUGCAUGCUCCCGAUGCAAGAUUUUCUUCGCUCUCCGGUCUUCCUGCCUCACCUCACCUCACCUUGGGAGCUGAAUCAGGACAUGCCGACAGUACACUGCGGCACUGUAAGGAUUUAACAGAACAAACACCGCAUCAUUUCUCUCUCCCUCCCUCUCUCUCUCUCUCCUUUUUCUUUCGCAUGGUGCGCAGCAGCUCAUCUUUGGACACUGUUUCUGCUCUUGCUUGCUCGGCCUGUUCUUGGUCUUGAGUUCUUGCUUGCUAGGUCCUCCUGCGGCGGCGGCCAUGGCGAUCCAGGUGGUGGUUGAGCCGCCGGUGCUGAUAAGCUCCUGUUGGCUCAAAAAUGGAGCGGGGAGGGCACCAUGUGAUGACCCAAAUUUGGCAAAGACCCUGCACUUGCCAGAUCUGGUUUGCAUCUAAGUACACGUACAAAGGGGUAGAGAGAACACCGUACGUUACUGCUCGUUACUGAUGAAGAGGGUUGUUGUUGUUGUUGGAUUUGGGCGUCAUGAAUUAAUGGGGAACAUCAUUUGCAAAGUUUACUUGACCAAGGUGGGGGGCUUUAUCAAAGCAAAUACAUAAGCAGAUUUAUUCAGUGAGAAAACCUGGAUUUUUUUUCCUAAAAAGUUUGUUGGGCCACAAGAGAAGUUCACUUUCAAAGAUAUGUAGUGAUUCGAAAAGGAUAACAGGAUUGAAGUUCCAAGUUGUUCCUUUACAUUCCAUUCAUGUUCCGGUGGAUCUAGAUGUGCAAUUUGGUUCUUAUUCAUGUUGCUGUGAGUACCUAUGCAUGGGGCGUGGGAGUACAACAUUCAUCUUGAGCACACGCAAUCAUGUUCUUAGGUUGCUAAAAUCCAGUUUUUACAUUGUAAUGAUUUAAAUUUUGUUGCUUUAACUAUCCUUUGGUAAAGACGAUCUUGCAAAGGGUUUUGUCGAUAUAUUCUGGUUCUUGGGAUGAGCAGUGAUGCUUACAUUCUAGUUCAUUUGAUAUUACUAUGUUCAUCUUAUGCAUUUCUUGUUUUGGACGUCUAAUUUACAAAGGAAACUCUGUCAGAUUUCAGUAAAUACCUAUCUUUGUAGAUUGUUUGGAGUUGCAUGGUAGCCUCCAGUUUAGCAAAUAACUGGGGUGUUACAAUUUUGGUCUACUAAUUUGGUGCUUCUUUGAUAUUAUCUUCUGCACAGGAUCCUUCCAACUAAUUCACUACUAAAGAGUAGCAGCGAUUCAGCGACCUUGUGAACCGCUCAAUUAAGUUAAUCCAUGUCAUAGUAAAUAACAUGGACGUCGAUGCAACAGCAAUAAUGAAACACCUAAAAAUUUGCUCAUUUUAAAAUAGGUGAAAAAUGGUUUAAUUAUGAAUUUCUGUGCUCAUGAAACAUAGGAAAAUAAUAUUUUCAUUUAAAUAAAAUUAAUUAUAGGACUUAGCAACUUGUUGUGCAUUCAUGCUUUUACAUUAAUUUUUGUUGACAUGAGUGAUUUGUCUAAAGCUCAAAAAAAAAUAUUUCAAAAGUGAUUUUAAAAUGGUUUGGAAAAUAACUUUGGAAUAAAGGAAAGGAAAUUAGAAUGUAUAUAAAAAAAAGAAAAAAAAAAAAGGGGGAGACAGCUCCCUGGAUCUGGCUCGAAGCCCAGCUCCUCUUCUUUCCCCCUCCCCCUCGGCCCAAGCCAGCAGCUGCAGCAGCCAGCCCAGCUCCUCGGCCUUCAAGCGCAGCCGGCCUCGGGAAAGCCGCGGCCCAGCCCCGCGCCUUUCCCUUCUCUCCCUGGCAACCUGACCCUGUCUUUUCUUUCACUGACACCCGGACCCACACGACAGUGUCCCAUCUCCCCUUUCCUUCUUCCUCCCCAAGCCGUAUGCGAGUUGGACAUCCAGAAGGAGAGUCCGCACCCCCUCUUCUCCGAUCUUUGCGGGAUUUUCCGUGUGGGAGAUUUACUUCGCCCUUUUUAAGCCCCGUGAAUCUCCCUAUUCCUUUCUUUUUCCAUCUAAUCGACUCCAUAGUUGCUCGGCUCCAGUUUGGAUCUCGCCGGCAAGCCGGACUUCAUCCGCUGCCGAGGUCCUCGCUCGGUGGUGCCCCAGGGCCUUUCGAAACCACACGCCGAGCAUCGCCACUAGGAGCUUCCUGUCCGC